GGAGAGGUUGCCGAGUGGCUUAAGGCGCCGCUCUCGAAAAGCGGUUCUCCCGAAAGGAGACGUGGGUUCAAAUCCCACCCUCUCCGCCA
rnacentral:tRNA from 1 species